rnacentral:lncRNA from 1 species
UUUUUCUUUUAUAUUUUCCUUUCUUUUAAUAAUUAUUUUAUUUUAAAAAUUAAUUCCAAAUAAUACAAAUAAUAUAUAUGACAAAAAAUAAUUAAAAUAAUAAAAUUAAAAUAAAAUAUUUUAAUUCAUUUUCUAUAUAAUUAAAACUUUUCUUUUUAUCUUUUUCUUUCUUUUAACAAUUAUUUUUAUUUUUAAAACUCCUUCCAAAUAAUACAAAUAAUCCCAGGACCUUCCCACCAUCAGUGCCGUAUCUCCUCCACCACUCGCCUUCCCACCAUCAGAUGACCACGCCUCACAAACUCCUUCCCCCUCUUCCCUCCAAACCCUCCUCCUCCUCUUCCCUCCAAGCCUUCCACCGUCGCCGGUAUCUCCUCCUAUUUUCCGUCGCCAGAUCCUCCGGAUCCAUGUCCGCCGCCGCCGCCGCCUCCUCCGCCGGCCAGAUUUUCACCGUCGCCGCUAACUAGGUGUAGGAGGAUGCUGGAGGCGAAGGAGACCGCAGUGAAAGCUAGGGGCUUUUUGAGGGGGUGGGGGAGGGAAACCGAGGGUUUG